rnacentral:rRNA from 1 species
GAUGAACGCUAGCUACAGGCUUAACACAUGCAAGUCGAGGGGCAGCAUGCAGGUAGCUUGCUAUCUGUGAUGGCGACCGGCGCACGGGUGAGUAACGCGUAUCCAACCUUCCCCAUAGUAGGGCAUAGCCCGUAGAAAUGCGGAUUAAUACCCUAUGUUUUCCUUUGCAGGCAUCUAACGAGGAAUAAAGGUUCACCGCUAUGGGAUGGGGAUGCGUCUGAUUAGGUUGCAGGCGGGGUAACGGCCCACCUGGCCUACGAUCAGUAGGGGUUCUGAGAGGAAGGUCCCCCACACUGGUACUGAGACACGGACCAGACUCC